UGCAGCAAACUGUCUCUGCAGUUGACAGAAGCUAAAACGUCACCGACAUGUCAUGCAACCGAACUGUCAAAGCAUGUUUACAAAGGCUUGAUUAUCAGUUCGAUCGGCAUGUUUUAUUAUAUCCGCGCGAGUGUUUCGGCGUGUUUAUGCGGUUUUUGGACAAAAUUUACGCUCAUUCAAGGCUGUGGCGGGUGAUGUUUUGCUGCCAGUUCGCAGUCUUCGCGUAGAAGACUGGACUGCAGAAAAAUCCCCUGAAAUCCCGGGAUUGACCGUGUUCUCCAUCUUGGCGAAGCAAGAGGAAACAGGUUUGGCACUUUGGCCGUCGGUCAGCCCCCUCACUGCCGCUCUACGGACUCGGCACUCGGACGAAGGACAUUACAGAUGACUCCUUCGUCGUCUACCGAACCGCCAGCGCAGCUAUGGACUGCCAACAUAGAAGGUAUGCUUUCAAACAUA